UCAAACUCCUGACCUCAGGUGAUCCACUUGCCUUGGCCACCCGAAGUGCUGGGAUUACAGGCGUGAGCCACUGCGCCUGGCCUACUUUCUUUUUUAGAAGAUCUCUCUGGCCACUGGGUAUGGAAUGGAUGAAAGGGUCAGAGUGAAAGCAGGAGCAGCGUGAGGAGGCUGUUGGGAGACUGGGAACAGAUGGCCUUGAUUGGAGCCUCAGUGGAUGCAGUAAGCAUGGGAAGGAAUGUGUGAACCCAGGAGAACUCUAAGUCACUCAGGAUCAUGCUUGUUCUAGGGAGGAGAAGGGACUUCAAACAAAGAAGACAUGUGCACAUGGGGAAACAUUCCCUCGGCCUCUCAUUGUGGGGCCCCAGGUGGGCUCUAGAGGACCAGGACACAACUACUCUUCCCAAGUCUCUCCUGGACCGCCAGGACUCCCAAGCAUCCCAUCACUGCCUGUCUCCCAAGAAGAACCCAUUCUGAUAAAAGUAAACCACCAUUUCAGUUCUUCUCCAGGAGUUAUAAAGUAUAAAUACGAAAGGUCCCUGCUGUGCUCGCCUUCCUAUUUUUCAAUCCUAAAUUAAUUCCUCUCUCCAUUCUGUAAUUCAGCACCCCCUCCUCUGAGCCUCCACACUGGGUGGUCCUGACUUCUGUGGGAGAUUUGCUGGAGAGAUGACUUGGAGGAACACAUUGUUUUUUUCCAAAUGAUUUAGUGACCUUUUUGGCAUCCCCAUGACUGCUGAAAUCUUGUGUAAUUAUUCGGUUUGCCGGCAGAGAGUUCUGUUGAUGAGGGGAAAGCUUAGGUAGAUGUCAAAUGUCAAUAAAUUUGCAAUCCAUAAUUGUAACCACUUGAUGCCGGAGCAGACCAGGGAUAAGGACUUGGUCACAAGGCCAUGGAUAGUUGAACCAAUACAAGCACCAAAGUAUCUCACAUGCAGAAAUAUUGCCUAUCUUUCUUUUCUCACUAGCGCUCUUUCUCUUUCUCUGACUCUUUUUCUCCAUUUCUAUCACAGUCUUCAUCCCCUUCCCUAGAGAGGGGCAUGUUAAAUACUCCACCAAGUCUUCUAGGUCCAUUUCCAGCCAGAGCCAAUGAUGCCAUAACCACAGCCACAGGUUUUACCCUCAAGAAUUCCCAUAAGCUCUUUCUGGUCUUGCUGUUCUGGUCUGUUUGGCCCCUGCUGGAGCUCAAGCAUCGAUUUUUUCUGCUUUGCUUGCUUUCUGACAGCACGGUUUAUAUUGGAAAGGUCUGUGUCAGGAAUUAGAGAACAUUCCUAACAAUGGGGAAAAAUACCCUAAUAUAAAUAGACCAUUUGUGGACUUGCACUUUGACAAGUGCAAGUGAACUGGAAGACACAGGAAAAGCUCUGAAGCCAUGGAGACAUGUACCAGAGGCAUUUGCUUAAUAACUCAUCUCAUUCCUUGAGCUCACCUUAUCAAGCUUUAACCUCUGAGUCUCUAAGUUCCCAGUUCAAAAAUGCAGAGUCUCCUCUGUCCUCAUGUUAAUUUUUAAAUUAUAUAUCAUUGUAGAGAGGCCCUUGUGUUGAAUAUUAUGAGCCAUUUUCACAUCUGAAAUGGGGAAUUAUAACUGAACAUUAGCGAUUGCCUAUAAAUCUCAGCAAACCAAGUGGCAUCUCUAACUAUACAGCAUUAACUGGGGAGAAACGCGGUGCACAAGAAGGGGGAUUUAGAAGGGUGGAGGUGAUUUUCACGAGGAGAGGCUGCAAGUGGAUGAGCACAAGUCCCCUGUGCUCUGUGUAAUCCCUAGAAUCCCAGUGGACCUGAGCGGAAGUUUGUUGAAAUUUUUGGAAGCAAUGGUUAAAACUGUUUUUGCAUGUUGGGAUUACAGGCAUGAGCCACUGUGCCUAGCCCCAGAGUGAUUUCUAAAAGGGAAAAAUAAAUACACGUUAGUAACAAAGCGAUGUAGCAGAAACAAUAUGCCACUCUGAAAUCAAGGAGGCUGAAGUUCAGAUUCUGUCUUUCUCGAUGACUGUAUGACCUUGGGCCGUCCAUUUAACCUCUCUGGGUUUUAUUUUCCUCAACUGCAAAAUGAAGAUUUAAAAAUAUGUUUAUCUACCCUGCUCCUGUGCCAGGAAAAUUAACCAGUUGUUAAUGGUAUUAGGAUGCAGUAAAUUCUCUACCUCCUACAUUAGUCUCUAGCCCAUCCCCUAAGCUGAACUAAGCCUUUAAUAUUUAUACAUUAGAACACCUCAACCAAACGCCGUAAGAGCUAGAUGGUAAAAGGAAAAGCAUAGAGAACGACAGAUACGCAUUUGCAAAAGGCAAUACUUCUGUUCAGUAGAUGCCCUCCUCUCCUUUUAUUGUUACUUGGUUGCUUGGCAACUUUAACCCAGUCAUCCCUAAAAGCACAGUGCCACCUGCAACCCCCAACUUCAGGUUUUUAAAAAAGGAACCUUCUAUUAGGAGAAAAUUCACCUUUGUGGCAGUGUCAUUUGACGGGAGAAAAGUAUAUGUUUGAAAAGGCACCCCAGCCAACACGAAUACAUCUCGCAUUUAGCACUCGGAGAUGAGAAUAUCAUAAUAUUUAAAUCAGUUUUGAGAACUUUCCUUGAAAAGGAAAAGUGGGGGGAAAAUCCACUAGUUGAAUACCCAGGGAGGCCACGGGGAGUGGUUACCAUAGCGAUUUCUCGCUGGCAAGUGGUAUUGGGGAGCAGAUUGGUGUCACUUAAUCCUUUUUAUUUGUAAUUUAUGUAUGUUGGCUCAUUCUCCGUGCCAGUCCAGAUUUUCCUGUUUACCUGCCAUUCCGCAUGAUAUGAGCGAAGAGAGACAAUGCCAGUUUUCAGCCAUUUCUUCAAUUUGUCCGCAUUAUCGGGGGUCAGAAGGACAGCCGAGAGUACAUGGGGAUGUCCCAGCACUUGGUUUUUGUCUGACGUUGGCAAAGGGUUAAAGAAAAUUGUGUGGGAAUUGCAGAGAGUGAAGGAGAAUGCCACGACAAUUUCUGUGAUAAUCCAGAAGUGGUUUUGAGACCCAUUUUGGCCUUAUACAUCUUGGUUUCAUAGCACCUUGUUAACGAAUAAUUUUUAUUCUCCAGUGAAUGCAAAAGAAAAGGAGAUGGAAUCCCUUUGGUCUUAUCCCAUCAUCCUGUGGCAAACAUGAUCCAUGAAAAUAAAUAUUCUGUUGCCUAACUUGCUAAGUAAUUGUCUUUCCUGCUGUGCGUGGGUGCUGGGUUCCUGGGAGAAUGGGUAUUAACAGUGUUUCUCGAACUCUCUUCACACUUCCUCAGGAUUAGGCCACAGGAAAAUGUCAGUUUCACUGACAAUUAAAUGGAGUCAGUUCCUUAUUCUCAAGAAAGAAGGAAGGAGAUGAAUACUUUAUAGACACCUUCCUUUAGCCUCAGUGAGCCUUGGACUAAGAAAGGCAAGCCUUCAAAAUGGGCUUCAGUAGAUGUCAACUAAUAAAUACUCAUUUCCAUAAAAUUUAAAUGAACCCCGUAAAAUCUACCUCUUGCUGUGCCAGAGUCCUAUCUCAUUACUCGAAAUAGCAGCAAUAUAAUCAUUGGAAACCACACCCUCCACGGCUGAGGUGGCUGGUAGGAAAGUCAUAGCUAAUUUCCACGUGCUUGUCCACAAAGGUGGUGAAAAUAUGUAGCUAGACCUCUUCAAGUUCUUUCUGCUGUAGGCCAUAUCUCCUGCCAACCACAUGUACCUUAUAAAAUAAUAAUUUUCAGAUGUAGCACUGCAUUUUGAUUAACCAGGAGACAGAGCAAGGAUUUCUUUUACUUUCCGUACACACAGGCAACAGUUCAAAUAUCUAAAUACUUAAAAACUGCAUGUGCUGUUUAAGAAAAUUUCAAAACUUUAGACACCCACCAAGAGAGGGACUGAUUUACCUCUCUAGAAGAAUUUUGUACCCUCUUUGCAUUUUAAGUGAUUUAAGCAAUGAUGACGUCUAUCUUGUUGAGACUUAAUCGCUUAGUCAGAGAAGCUGUUUUUCAGUUAGACAAAUAUUUCCUUUAAGAUCCAUCUUUUAAUUUUAAAAAACCUUCAUUUAAAUUUAGACACAUUGAGAUAGUCCCUAUUUUCAUCAUCAACAGUGCAACUGGAAGAUGCUUUGCAGAAACACUGAGAUAAGCAGUAUUCUUCUAUGAACGGUAUCGCAGACACCUAUUACAUGAAAUUUUCAAGUGAUUAAAAUGUUUUCAGCCUGUGCAGAUAUGCUCAAACUCCCACCCAUCUUGAAAUCCAGUGCCGUCUUGAAAUUUCUGUGAGUUCCCAGAAAUUAUAUUUUUCUUGAUAGGGAAAGCAAUAUGGGGUUCUGGAUAAGAACUUAGAUGCUAGAAUUAUACUACCUAGAUUUAAUUACUGUGUGACCAUGGACAACAGAAGCAACCUCUCUGUUCUUCAGUUUCCCUAUCUGUGAAAUGGAGAAAAAUAGUAAGCCUGUCUUAUAGGUUGUUGAGUAGAAAGAUACUAAACUUUUAAGCACUUUGAACAGGGCUCACCAUUGUUGUAAGUACCCAAUACAUGUUCACUGUAAUCAUUUUUUGCUUCUUCAGAAUUCCUUUUUCUCACUCUUACCUUUGUAGCAAUUCUUUUAAUCACUUUCCUAUAGUUAACCCAAGGUGGACUCAGCCCUAAACUUAACCAUUGACCAUCCCCAACCUUCACACAUUAUAAUUCAAACAACAGAGUCUUGUAGUAAACUUUCAUUGAAAGGUAGAGGUGAGUGGAGCAAACAAUCUAAUAUUUAGUUUUAGAGCUCCUGGUACUUAACGGCAUAUGGCAUUGCACCAUGACUUACCCUGCUCAUAGCAUAUUGCACUGUGGGGUCAUUGAAAAGUCGCUCCGUGCUCCCGGUCUAGGCUGCCAUGGUGCCUGUUUCCUUCCUCACCAGUGAUUCUACCACUCCAAGGAAAAGCAAAACAAAAACAAAAA